rnacentral:rRNA from 2 species
AGAGUUUGAUCAUGGCUCAGAUUGAACGCUGGCGGCAGGCCUAACACAUGCAAGUCGAACGGUAACAGGAAGCAGCUUGCUGCUUCGCUGACGAGUGGCGGACGGGUGAGUAAUGUCUGGGAAACUGCCUGAUGGAGGGGGAUAACUACUGGAAACGGUGGCUAAUACCGCAUAACGUCGCAAGACCAAAGAGGGGGACCUUCGGGCCUCUUGCCAUCAGAUGUGCCCAGAUGGGAUUAGCUAGUUGGUGAGGUAACGGCUCACCAAGGCGACGAUCCCUAGCUGGUCUGAGAGGAUGACCAGCCACACUGGAACUGAGACACGGUCCAGACUCCUACGGGAGGCAGCAGUGGGGAAUAUUGCACAAUGGGCGCAAGCCUGAUGCAGCCAUGCCGCGUGUAUGAAGAAGGCCUUCGGGUUGUAAAGUACUUUCAGCGGGGAGGAAGGUGUUGUGGUUAAUAACCACAGCAAUUGACGUUACCCGCAGAAGAAGCACCGGCUAACUCCGUGCCAGCAGCCGCGGUAAUACGGAGGGUGCAAGCGUUAAUCGGAAUUACUGGGCGUAAAGCGCACGCAGGCGGUCUGUCAAGUCGGAUGUGAAAUCCCCGGGCUCAACCUGGGAACUGCAUUCGAAACUGGCAGGCUUGAGUCUUGUAGAGGGGGGUAGAAUUCCAGGUGUAGCGGUGAAAUGCGUAGAGAUCUGGAGGAAUACCGGUGGCGAAGGCGGCCCCCUGGACAAAGACUGACGCUCAGGUGCGAAAGCGUGGGGAGCAAACAGGAUUAGAUACCCUGGUAGUCCACGCCGUAAACGAUGUCUACUUGGAGGUUGUGCCCUUGAGGCGUGGCUUCCGGAGCUAACGCGUUAAGUAGACCGCCUGGGGAGUACGGCCGCAAGGUUAAAACUCAAAUGAAUUGACGGGGGCCCGCACAAGCGGUGGAGCAUGUGGUUUAAUUCGAUGCAACGCGAAGAACCUUACCUGGUCUUGACAUCCACGGAAGUUUUCAGAGAUGAGAAUGUGCCUUCGGGAACCGUGAGACAGGUGCUGCAUGGCUGUCGUCAGCUCGUGUUGUGAAAUGUUGGGUUAAGUCCCGCAACGAGCGCAACCCUUAUCCUUUGUUGCCAGCGGUCCGGCCGGGAACUCAAAGGAGACUGCCAGUGAUAAACUGGAGGAAGGUGGGGAUGACGUCAAGUCAUCAUGGCCCUUACGACCAGGGCUACACACGUGCUACAAUGGCGCAUACAAAGAGAAGCGACCUCGCGAGAGCAAGCGGACCUCAUAAAGUGCGUCGUAGUCCGGAUUGGAGUCUGCAACUCGACUCCAUGAAGUCGGAAUCGCUAGUAAUCGUGGAUCAGAAUGCCACGGUGAAUACGUUCCCGGGCCUUGUACACACCGCCCGUCACACCAUGGGAGUGGGUUGCAAAAGAAGUAGGUAGCUUAACCUUCGGGAGGGCGCUUACCACUUUGUGAUUCAUGACUGGGGUGAAGUCGUAACAAGGUAACCGUAGGGGAACCUGCGGUUG